rnacentral:rRNA from 1 species
CGAAGCACUUGCCAUUGACUCUUCGGAAGAUCUGGCAAAUGACUGAGCGGCGGACGGGUGAGUAACGCGUGGGUAACCUGCCUCAUACAGGGGAAUAACAGUUAGAAAUGGCUGCUAAUGCCGCAUAAGCGCACAGGGCCGCAUGGUCUGGUGUGAAAAACUCCGGUGGUAUGAGAUGGACCCGCGUCUGAUUAGGUAGUUGGCGGGGUAACGGCCCACCAAGCCGACGAUCAGUAGCCGACCUGAGAGGGUGACCGGCCACAUUGGGACUGAGACACGGCCCAGACUCCUACGGGAGGCAGCAGUGGGGAAUAUUGCACAAUGGAGGAAACUCUGAUGCAGCGACGCCGCGUGAAGGAAGAAGUAUCUCGGUAUGUAAACUUCUAUCAGCAGGGAAGAAAAUGACGGUACCUGACUAAGAAGCCCCGGCUAACUACGUGCCAGCAGCCGCGGUAAUACGUAGGGGGCAAGCGUUAUCCGGAUUUACUGGGUGUAAAGGGAGCGUAGACGGACGGGCAAGUCUGAUGUGAAAGCCCGGGGCUUAACCCCGGGACUGCAUUGGAAACUGUCCAUCUUGAGUGCCGGAGAGGUAAGCGGAAUUCCUAGUGUAGCGGUGAAAUGCGUAGAUAUUAGGAGGAACACCAGUGGCGAAGG